rnacentral:rRNA from 1 species
AAUCAACGCUGGCGGCGUGCCUCAGACAUGCAAGUCGAACGCGAAAGUCCCCUUCGGGGGAGUGAUUAGAGUGGCGCACGGGUGAGUAACACGUAGGUAAUCUACCCUCGAGUGGGGAAUAACUCAGGGAAACUUGAGCUAAUACCGCAUAAUGCAGCGGCACCACAUGGUGACAGUUAGUUAAAGCAUUUAUGCGCUUGAAGAGGAGCCUGCGGCGGAUUAGCUAGUUGGUAAGGUAAUGGCUUACCAAGGCUACGAUCUGUAACCGGCCUGAGAGGGCGGACGGUCACACUGACACUGAAUAACGGGUCAGACUCCUACGGGAGGCAGCAGUCGGGAAUUUUGGG